CGAGGGGGGCAAGUGUUGUUCGGAAUCACUGGGCGUAAAGGGAGCGUAGGCGGGCUCUUAAGUUGGAUGUUUAAAACCGGGGCCCAACCCCGGCGUGGCAUCCAAAACUGGGAGUCUUGAAUGGAACAGAGGCUAGUGGAAUUGGAGGUGUAGCGGUGGAAUGCGUAGAGAUCUCCAAGAACACCCGUUGCGAAGGCGGCUAGCUGGGUUCACAUUGACGCUGAGGCUCGAAAGCGUGGGGAGCAAACAGGAUUAGAUACCCUGGUAGUCCACGCCGUAAACGAUGAACACUAGGUUUUGACCCCGUCAACGGGUCAGAGCCGCAGCUAACGCGUUAAGUGUUCCGCCUGGGGAGUACGGUCGCAAGACUG
rnacentral:rRNA from 1 species